UGAAUAACAGUUCAGAGUUGAUAGUUCAAAGUUUAACAUUGGAAAACAGCAUUCCUGUUGCCCUUCUUAACAGCAUGGAGACUACAGAUGAAAAAAGAACAUUGACCAGAUUAUGCAAGACUGAGUUCUAAUAUUAGAGGGGCUACGUAUUGACAGCAACGAGGUUAUUAGAGGAUGGUGCAGACGCGUAAACAAAAUACCAGCUUGUCAUGAAAGAUUUAGUUUUUAACACCAUUUCAACCACAAGUAAUUUAGUAUCAGAGUAUAGACAAUUCUGAGUGAAGUUAAAGCUCCCAAGAUAUUUCUUGUGUUCUGGAGAGGUUCAGAAAUGAAAGAAGUGCAAAAAACAAAAAAAAAAAUAAAAAAAUAUAUUUGGCACUAACACUUACAGUUGACAAGAUUAUUAAAUGACAAUAAUAACACAAGCGGUUUUAAAGCAAGGAGCGUAAAAUACAAAACCACAUUUCACGUGUACAUAAGCACUGUGCCAAUUUUUAAUGUGUAGGCCAACAAUAAAAUAUCAACGCUAUACAAAAGACAUUCUUUG